UACAGGGGGGGCAAGCGUUGUUCGGAAUUACUGGGCGUAAAGGGCUCGUAGGUGGCCAACUAAGUCAGACGUGAAAUCCCUCAGCUUAACUGGGGAACUGCGUCUGAUACUGGAUGGCUUGAGUUUGGGAGAGGGAUGCGGAAUUCCAGGUGUAGCGGUGAAAUGCGUAGAUAUCUGGAGGAACACCGGUGGCGAAGGCGGCAUCCUGGACCAACACUGACACUGAGGAGCGAAAGCCAGGGGGAGCAAACGGG
rnacentral:rRNA from 1 species